AUCCAAAUGACGAGUCACAGAUGGGACGAAACGCGCAUCCUGGAU
rfam:Schistosoma haematobium scaffold303_16, whole genome shotgun sequence.